rnacentral:rRNA from 1 species
UACGUAGGGCGCAAGCGUUAUCCGGAAUUAUUGGGCGUAAAGAGCUCGUAGGCGGUUUGUCGCGUCUGCCGUGAAAGUCCGGGGCUCAACUCCGGAUCUGCGGUGGGUACGGGCAGACUAGAGUGAUGUAGGGGAGACUUGAAUUCCUGGUGUAGCGGUGAAAUGCGCAGAUAUCAGGAGGAACACCGAUGGCGAAGGCAGGUCUCUGGGCAUUAACUGACGCUGAGGAGCGAAAGCAUGGGGAGCGAACAGG